UACGGAGGAUGCAAGCGUUAUCCGGAAUGAUUGGGCGUAAAGCGUCCGCAGGUGGCUGUGUAAGUCUGCUGUUAAAUAGUGAGGCUCAACCUCAUAAAGGCAGUGGAAACUACACGGCUAGAGUGCGUUCGGGGCAGAGGGAAUUCCUGGUGUAGCGGUGGAAUGCGUAGAGAUCAGGAAGAACACCGGUGGCGAAAGCGCUCUGCUAGGCCGCAACUGACACUGAGGGACGAAAGCUAGGGGAGCGAAUGGG
rnacentral:rRNA from 1 species